GUUGGUAUAAGUGGUUAUGGGGGAUUAGAGGAAAAAGGAAAAACACCAUCAUUUGAUGUCCAUGUGCAUGCAGUUCCAGAUGGAUGGAAACUGAGCAUUAUACAGUUCCAGCACUUAAAAAGGCAAGAAGGGUCUUGAAAUGAUCACUGUACACCAGAAUAUGCUUGUACAUAGCAUCUGAGGGCAGAGAUGAUCGAGGCAGAAUGGUUGCAUACAGAUAUUUUGCCAAUUCCUUGCAACAAAUGAUUCUUUAUUUCUUGAAAAUAAAGCUCAUGCAGACCAGU